AUUGAACGCUGGCGGCAUGCUUUACACAUGCAAGUCGAACGGUAACAGGGAGCUUGCUCCGCUGACGAGUGGCGAACGGGUGAGUAAUGCGUCGGAACGUGCCGAGUAGUGGGGGAUAACGCAGCGAAAGUUGUGCUAAUACCGCAUACGUACUGAGGUAGAAAGUGGGGGACCUUCGGGCCUCACGCUAUUCGAGCGGCCGACGUCUGAUUAGCUAGUAGGUGAGGUAAAGGCUCACCUAGGCGACGAUCAGUAGCGGGUCUGAGAGGAUGAACCGCCACACUGGGACUGAGACACGGCCCAGACUCCUACGGGAGGCAGCAGUGGGGAAUUUUGGACAAUGGGCGAAAGCCUGAUCCAGCCAUGCCGCGUGUCUGAAGAAGGCCUUCGGGUUGUAAAGGACUUUUGUCGGGGAGGAAAUCCCCAGCGCUAAUACCGCUGUGGGAUGACAGUACCUGAAGAAUAAGCACCGGCUAACUACGUGCCAGCCGCCGCCGUAACAC
rnacentral:rRNA from 1 species